rnacentral:rRNA from 1 species
UACGUAGGUGACAAGCGUUGUCCGGAUUUACUGGGCGUAAAGAGCGCGCAGGCGGACGUUCAAGUCGAGUGUGAAAGCCCCCGGCUCAACUGGGGAGGGUCAUUCGAUACUGAUCGACUCGAAGGCAGGAGAGGGAAGUGGAAUUCCCGGUGUAGUGGUGAAAUGCGUAGAUAUCGGGAGGAACACCAGUGGCGAAGGCGGCUCUCUGGACCGAGACUGACGCUGAGGCGCGAAAGCGUGGGGAGCAAACAGG